AGCGGCGGACGGGUGGGUAACGCGUGGGUAACCUGCCUCAUACACAUGGAUAACAUACCGAAAGGUAUAGCUAAUACAGGAUAAGUAUAAGAGAUUCACAUGGAUUUCUUAUCAAAGCUCCGGCGGUAUGAGAUGGACCCGCGUCUGAUUAGCUAGUUGGUAAGGUAAUGGCGUUACCAAGGCGACGAUCAGUAGCCGACCUGAGAGGGUGAUCGGCCACAUUGGAACUGAGACACGGUCCAAACUCCUACGGGAGGCUAGCAGUGGGGAAUAUUGCACAAUGGGCGAAAGCCUGAUGCCAGCAACGCCGCGUGAGUGAUGAAGGCCUUCGGGUCGUAAAACUCUGUCCUCAAGGAAGAUAAUGACGGUACUUGAGGAGGAAGCCCCGGCUAACUACGUGCCAGCAGCCGC
rnacentral:rRNA from 1 species